rnacentral:rRNA from 1 species
GCCAACGAUCAUACCACGUUGAAUACACCAGUUCUCGUCCGAUCACUGAAGUUAAGCAACGUCGGGCGUGGUCAAUACUUGGAUGGGUGACCGCUUGGGAACACCACGUAUCGUUGGCUCUU